UGGGGAAUAUUGGACAAUGGGCGAAAGCCUGAUCCAGCAAUGCCGCGUGAGUGAUGAAGGCCUUAGGGUUGUAAAGCUCUUUUACCCGGGAUGAUAAUGACAGUACCGGGAGAAUAAGCCCCGGCUAACUCCGUGCCAGCAGCCGCGGUAAUACGGAGGGGGCUAGCGUUGUUCGGAAUUACUGGGCGUAAAGCGCACGUAGGCGGCUUUGUAAGUUAGAGGUGAAAGCCCGGGGCUUAACUCCGGAACUGCCUUUAAGACUGCAUCGCUAGAAUUGUGGAGAGGUAAGUGGAAUUCCGAGUGUAGAGGUGAAAUUCGUAGAUAUUCGGAAGAACACCAGUGGCGAAGGCGACUUACUGGUCACAUAUUGACGCUGAGGUGCGAAAGCGUGGGGAGCAAA
rnacentral:rRNA from 1 species